CUUUAUACUCCUAUUUUAUUUAAACCACCCCACUAGUAAAAACCUAAUUCUCUUAACUUCCUAGUGUCCCUUAAUUAGCUUCUACCGCCUCUUUCUCCAUUUUCUCUACAACUCCUCUUCUUCCAUGGAUCUUUGCUUGUCUUCAUUCUUAGAUCCUCUAUGCUUUCUUCCUUCUCCAAUAAAAUGCAGAGGUUUUUCUUUCUCUAUUUACUUCCUCUCUUCACCUUCUAAUUAAUUCCUUUUCCCCCCUUUUCAUUCGAGUUUCAAUUCGAAACCAUUUCCGAACCCAAAUCAAAACCCUCGAAUUUCUUUCUCUAUUGCAAAUGGUUCCCAUGAAUCUCAUCGCAAUCAGAUUUUUUCUCAUCUGAUAAUGAUUUGUCGGAUAAACCUAAGUGCCGCUAACACCAACAUCAACUCCAUCAUCGCCACCACCACCACCGUAGAACUCCAUCACCUUCGUUGCAUAGCCACCACCGCAGGAUGUUUAGAUUGUAUCGUCUUACUUAGCAAGAACAUUUUAAAUUCGAAUUUCGAAAGAUACGGAGAGACUUAAAUAAUGUGGAUUUGAAGCAAAGGAGCUUGAUACAACAUCAAUUGAUUCCGUCAUAUCAACUGGCCGGGAUAAUUUUUGAAAUUGGAGAUUGUUUUUAGCAUUAUAUUCUAAAUUGAAGCUAUGAAUUUCAUUAUAAUACAUAGAUUUUGUACUUGAUUUCAUUUUUUUUUGUUAUGUAUAUAUUAUUAUUGAAUUCAAUUGAUAUAUUGAUUUAUUAGUCAAUUUGUAAAUUCUCGAUCAAAAUUAAUAAAGAGUUAGUUUUCUUGCUUAA